rnacentral:sRNA from 1 species
GGUACCAAAAGAGUAGACAAGUUUGGAUGGUAUUAGGAGAUACAAAUACCAAAUAUUUUCACGCUUCAACUAAACAAAGGCGGGCUAGGAACAGAAUAAUUGGUAUCCUCGAUCAAAAUAGAGUGUGGGUUGAUAAUGAAGAAGGUAUCGAGAAAGUCGCCGUGAGCUACUUUGAUAACUUCUUUUCUUCCUCGGUUUCGAGAGAUCCCACUAAUGUCCUUAAAGAUGUCCAUGUUGCGGUUACUCCAAGGAUGAACGAGGCUCUAACCAAGGAGGUUACAGAAGAGGAGGUGAAAAGAGCUUUAUUCUCAUUAAACCCGGGAAAAGCACCAGGAUCAGACGGGAUGAUGGCACUUUUUUACCAACGUUUUUGGGACAUUAUAAAAGGUGAUCU